rnacentral:rRNA from 1 species
AGAGUUUGAUCCUGGCUCAGAAUCAACGCUGGCGGCGCGCUUAACACAUGCAAGUCGCACGAGAAAGGGAGCAAUCCUAAGUAAAGUGGCGUACGGGUGAGUAACACGUGGAUCAUCUACCUUUUAGUGGGGAAUACCUCCUGGAAACGGGAGACAAUACCGCAUAAGCUCGUAAGAGGAAAGCAGCAAUGCGCUGAAAG